AAUAAAGUGGCUGAGUUACAGGCGGUAGAUUGUAAAUCUAAAAACAAGGAGACCUUCUUUAUUAGU
rnacentral:tRNA from 1 species